GUCAAAGGAAUUACAACGAAGAAAAGUAUACGGGUGGUCCUAAAACUGGAUAAAUUCUGUGAUUUCGACACUCUUCUAGCAUUGAUAUCAGCGGAUGGGAAGAUCACUGCAGAUCAUUUCUUCGACCUGACAACACCUGACAUUAGAGAGAAAAUAAACAUGGCGUUAAAACUCGCAAUUCUAGGUGUUCUCCUGGUUGCCCUUGCGAUUGCAACUAGUGUUUCCUGCGAAGAUACACAAAUUAGUGAGGAAAUCAAUGCUUCUGAGUUAAAGAAGUGCGUACAGGAUGUGAAAGACGAAUAUUAUUGCAAACGGAUUUUACAACUCUAUAAAAACUGGGUCUCGCAAAGUGAGUAGCAGAAAAGCAGGAUGAAAAACUACAACCCACUCUUGUGUGCAUCAAAAUCUCAGCUACACUCCUUUCAACUCCUUUCAACGUAUUCAGUUCUUAUUAUUCACUGAUUUAAAGACGUAUAAUUUAUGUCAAUAAAUUGCCUUAUAUGAUCUUUGUGAUAUAAAGUAUUGAUGUGCACACGUCGGAUGACCAUGUAAUUCAUUCCAUUAUGUGGACCUUGUUUAUAUUUCAGUAGUCGGGGAGGAAGGGUGGGUCUCGUGCUUUCUUUUCGAGAAAAAAAAAGACAUAGACAAGUCCUACCCCACUCUGAACAAGAAACUCAAUUGAUUUCAACCAUUGGCCGCUAAAAGCAAGAAAACAAAUUAAUAUGAGAUUGUAAACAGUGUAAAUUCUAAACGAAUUAACAGAUUAUCUCAUAUUACUGAGUACUCUUAUUAUGAUAUCUACCAUUUUAAACAAUUCUUCAUCUUGCAUUGUCUGACUUCCACUAAGCAUGCUAAGCCUAGAAUUAACCUGACCAUGCUGACACACAAAUGCAGAGCUCAUAAUCGUUUUCGCAUCUCCAUGUCUCUUUCCCAUUGUUUUGUAUAAGACUCUACCAUUCUAGUACGCCUUUCCCUCCUGAUUAGUUUUAAUAAAUAGUUAAAGUUACAAUUAUAUAGCGCUUAAUACAUUAUGUUUCUAAGCGCUUUACAUUGUACUAAUUUUUACCCUUGGAUUUUU